rnacentral:rRNA from 1 species
UAAUACGGAGGGUGCGAGCGUUGUCCGGAAUCACUGGGCGUAAAGGGCGCGUAGGCGGCCUGAUAAGUAGGGGGUGAAAUCUUGCGGCUUAACCGCAAGGCUGCCUUCUAAACUGUCAGGCUAGAGCACAGUAGAGGCAGGUGGAAUUCCCGGUGUAGCGGUGGAAUGCGUAGAGAUCGGGAAGAACAUCAGU